CAACCCUCGAGCCCACGUGGCCCGGCGUUGGGGAUCUACGGCCCGUUCCGUAGGCCCCGAAAACCAGUGGCGGCCCCGCGCGGACCCCCCCUUGCGUAGUAGCAUCAGCCUCGCAUCGGAGACCCGCGGGACGACCUCGCCUCUAAACCCCCAACAUCCAAGCCCGCCCCAGGCGGCACACA
rnacentral:misc_RNA from 1 species